CGGACACUUAUUUAUUUUUAUUCGGUGUCUUCUCAAGAUGAAGAUAACUCAUUAUAAAUGUCCUAGAGAAAUACAGUAACUUUCUGUUUACCCUUUGCAAGUAAGAAGGGUGGGUCGUUCCACCACCGACAUUU